rnacentral:miRNA from 1 species
UGUACCAUGCUGGUAGCCAGUA